rnacentral:rRNA from 1 species
UUUAUGGAGAGUUUGAUCCUGGCUCAGGAUGAACGCUGGCGGCGUGCCUAAUACAUGCAAGUCGAGCGAACGGACGAGAAGCUUGCUUCUCUGAUGUUAGCGGCGGACGGGUGAGUAACACGUGGAUAACCUACCUAUAAGACUGGGAUAACUUCGGGAAACCGGAGCUAAUACCGGAUAAUAUUUUGAACCGCAUGGUUCAAAAGUGAAAGACGGUCUUGCUGUCACUUAUAGAUGGAUCCGCGCUGCAUUAGCUAGUUGGUAAGGUAACGGCUUACCAAGGCAACGAUGCAUAGCCGACCUGAGAGGGUGAUCGGCCACACUGGAACUGAGACACGGUCCAGACUCCUACGGGAGGCAGCAGUAGGGAAUCUUCCGCAAUGGGCGAAAGCCUGACGGAGCAACGCCGCGUGAGUGAUGAAGGUCUUCGGAUCGUAAAACUCUGUUAUUAGGGAAGAACAUAUGUGUAAGUAACUGUGCACAUCUUGACGGUACCUAAUCAGAAAGCCACGGCUAACUACGUGCCAGCAGCCGCGGUAAUACGUAGGUGGCAAGCGUUAUCCGGAAUUAUUGGGCGUAAAGCGCGCGUAGGCGGUUUUUUAAGUCUGAUGUGAAAGCCCACGGCUCAACCGUGGAGGGUCAUUGGAAACUGGAAAACUUGAGUGCAGAAGAGGAAAGUGGAAUUCCAUGUGUAGCGGUGAAAUGCGCAGAGAUAUGGAGGAACACCAGUGGCGAAGGCGACUUUCUGGUCUGUAACUGACGCUGAUGUG